ensembl:rRNA 5S_rRNA 5S ribosomal RNA
UUUAGCCGGCAUUUAGCUCUUUGCAACUCUCACAUGAUCGCCCACUGAAGCUAAGCAGGGCUGUGCCUCGUCAAUACCUGGAUGGGAGAUCACAUGGGAAAGCUAGGUUGCUGCCAGAA